CCAGGUGACCAUAGCGAGGUGGAACCACCCGUUCCCAUCCCGAACACGGAAGUGAAACGCCUCAGCGCUGACGAUACUGCCGGUCUCGGUGGGACAAUAGGGCGUCGCCAGGA
rnacentral:rRNA from 1 species